GCAGUAGUAAAUCCUACUGUCGAGAGUGGAGCCUCGAUAAUCAUUGUAGAGACACAGACGCGGACGCGUUUUUUUU
rnacentral:sRNA from 1 species